UUUACACAGUACCUUAAUAUUCAGCCCAAUGAUGAUUGGUCAAUAAAGAAAUGAUCACUAUUCUUGCAUUGGGAUUUAAGGGUGAUAGCAGAUGGUCAUAUUCCAUGGGCAUGCGAGGCGUUUUCUAACUUGCAUGGACGGGAUCUUGUUAGGGCGCCAGCAUUGCUAUGGUGUUGGAGAUUACACAUGAUCAAACUAUGGAAUCAUGGUCUCCUUGAUGCGCGCACCAUGAACAGUUGUAAUACCAUACUUGAGCAGUUCGAAAACCGAGAUGUGGAUCCUUGAGAAGUUAGAGCACGAUCGCAAGUCUUUUGCUGUAGAAACAGUUGAUUAUCAAAAUCAUCGUGUAGUUGUCGGAUCCGAGGCGAAUGCUAGGUCCGCAGUUUAAAUAUAUCAUUUGUUGUUUGUCCCCAUUUGGGAUAAUUCUGUUUUUAGUUUUUGGUUGAAUCUCAUUUAGAAUUCUUGAAUAUAUUUGAAAAGAAGUAUUCCCUAUUCUGAUAGGAUUCUCUCUAUUUUUGAUUGGUGUAAUUUACCGUAUGGCAAGUUUCAUGGGAAGUCUAUGUGCUGUGUCAAUAUUUUUCUUGAUUCUAGUAGAAUGCACUAAAUUCUGCAAUUCGUUAGUACUCUCUGUUCCUUAAA